rnacentral:rRNA from 1 species
UGGCGGCGUGGUUAAGACAUGCAAGUCGAACGGGAGAAUUGCUAGCUUGCUAAUAAUUCUCUAGUGGCGCACGGGUGAGUAACACGUGAGUAACCUGCCCCCAAGAGUGGGAUAGCCCCGGGAAACUGGGAUUAAUACUGCAUAAAAUCGCAAGAUUAAAGCAGCAAUGCGCUUGGGGAUGGGCUCGCGUCCUAUUAGUUAGUUGGUGAGGCAACGGCUCACCAAGGCGAUGACGGGUAGCCGGUCUGAGAGGAUGUCCGGCCACACUGGAACUGAGACACGGUCCAGACACCUACGGGUGGCAGCAGUCGAGAAUCAUUCACAAUGGGGGAAACCCUGAUGGUGCGACGCCGCGUGGGGGAAUGAAGGUCUUCGGAUUGUAAACCCCUGUCAUGUGGGAGCAAAUUAAAAAGAUAGUACCACAAGAGGAAGAGACGGCUAACUCUGUGCCAGCAGCCGCGGUAAUACAGAGGUCUCAAGCGUUGUUCGGAAUCACUGGGCGUAAAGCGUGCGUAGGCGGUUUCGUAAGUCGUGUGUGAAAGGCGGGGGCUCAACCCCCGGACUGCACAUGAUACUGCGAGACUAGAGUAAUGGAGGGGGAACCGGAAUUCACGGUGUAGCA